rnacentral:lncRNA from 1 species
GAAGACUGAGAAGAUUAGAAAAAUGAAGAAAAGCAUAAAGAAGAAAAGAAAGCUUGUCUGGUCUCCCGCCACCCUGAGUUACAGUGAGGACUUGGUGGGCUGCCUUCUGUAUUUUUGCCUCCCGUGCCCUCCAGAUCCAUGCCCUGUGCUGCUCUGUGCCUGCAGCCUCAUCAGCAGGCCCUGUGCCCUCUUGUAUGACUGGGUUUGGCUACUUGGAAGGCCUGGCAGAAGGAAUGAGAGUAAAGUCAGUGAAAUUGUUCCUCUGGCUCCCUCCCUGCAAGGUCACCUUGUUGCAGAUCACUGCUCCUCUCAAGACCGAGGAGCCUAAUGAGACGCUGUCUCCUGUCGCGCUCUGCUUACUGUCCCUUACCUCUCUCCUUUAGAUGUAAGGAUGUUACUAGUAAGAACUCUCCAUAAAAGC